GAUGAACGCUGGCGGCGUGCCUAAUACAUGCAAGUCGAGCGAACGGACGAGAAGCUUGCUUUUCUGAUGUUAGCGGCGGACGGGUGAGUAACACGUGGAUAACCUACCUAUAAGACUGGGAUAACUUCGGGAAACCGGAGCUAAUACCGGAUAAUAUUUUGAACCGCAUGGUUCAAAAGUGAAAGACGGUCUUGCUGUCACUUAUAGAUGGAUCCGCGCUGCAUUAGCUAGUUGGUAAGGUAACGGCUUACCAAGGCAACGAUGCAUAGCCGACCUGAGAGAGUGAUCGGCCACACUGGAACUGAGACACGGUCCAGACUCCUACGGGAGGCAGCAGUAGGGAAUCUUACGCAAUGGGCGAAAGCCUGACGGAGCAACGCCGCGUGAGUGAUGAAGGUCUUCGGAUCGUAAAGCUCUGUUAUUAGGGAAGAACAUAUGUGUAAGUAACUGUGCACAUCUUGACGGUACCUAAUCAGAAAGCCACGGCUAACUACGUG
rnacentral:rRNA from 1 species